rnacentral:rRNA from 1 species
CGAAUAAAACUCAGUGUCGCAUGACACAAAGUUAAAAGGCGCUUUGGCGUCACCUAGAGAUGGAUCCGCGGUGCAUUAGUUAGUUGGUGGGGUAAAGGCCUACCAAGACAAUGAUGCAUAGCCGAGUUGAGAGACUGAUCGGCCACAUUGGGACUGAGACACGGCCCAAACUCCUACGGGAGGCUGCAGUAGGGAAUCUUUCCACAAUGGGCGAAAGCCUGAUGGAGCAACGCCGCGUGUGUGAUGAAGGCUUUCGGGUCGUAAAGCACUGUUGUAUGGGAAGAACAGCUAGAAUAGGGAAUGAUUUUAGUUUGACGGUACCAUACCAGAAAGGGACGGCUAAAUACGUGCCAGCAGCCGCGGUAAUACGUAUGUCCCGAGCGUUAUCCGGAUUUAUUGGGCGUAAAGCGAGCGCAGACGGUUGAUUAAGUCUGAUGUGAAAGCCCGGAGCUCAACUCCGGAAUGGCAUUGGAAACUGGUUAACUUGAGUGCAGUAGAGGUAAGUGGAACUCCAUGUGUAGCGGUGGAAUGCGUAGAUAUAUGGAAGAACACCAGUGGCGAAGGCGGCUUACUGGACUGUAACUGACGUUGAGGCUCGAAAGUGUGGGUAGCAAACAGGAUUAGAUACCCUGGUAGUCCACACCGUAAACGAUGAACACUAGGUGUUAGGAGGUUUCCGCCUCUUAGUGCCGAAGCUAACGCAUUAAGUGUUCCGCCUGGGGAGUACGACCGCAAGGUUGAAACUCAAAGGAAUUUGACGGGGACCCGCACAAGCGGUGGAGCAUGUGGUUUAAUUCGAAGCAACGCGAAGAACCUUACCAGGUCUUGACAUCCUUUGAAGCUUUUAGAGAUAGAAGUGUUCUCUUCGGAGACAAAGUGACAGGUGGUGCAUGGUCGUCGUCAGCUCGUGUCGUGAGAUGUUGGGUUAAGUCCCGCAACGAGCGCAACCCUUAUUGUUAGUUGCCAGCAUUCAGAUGGGCACUCUAGCGAGACUGCCGGUGACAAACCGGAGGAAGGCGGGGACGACGUCAGAUCAUCAUGCCCCUUAUGACCUGGGGCUACACACGUGCUACAAUGGCGUAUACAACGAGUUGCCAACCCGCGAGGGUGAGCCAAUCUCUUAAAGUACGUCUCAGUUCGGAUUGUAGUCUGCAACUCGACUACAUGAAGUCGGAAUCGCUAGUAAUCGCGGAUCAGCACGCCGCGGUGAAUACGUUCCCGGGUCUUGUACACCCCGCCCGUCACACCAUGGGAGUUUGUAAUGCCCAAAGCCGGUGGCCUAACCUUUUAGGAAGGAGCCGUCUAAG